UACGGAGGAUCCGAGCGUUAUCCGGAUUUAUUGGGUUUAAAGGGUGCGCAGGCGGGAGAUUAAGUCGGCGGUGAAAUUUUGCAGCUCAACUGUAAAAGUGCCUUCGAAACUGGUUUCCUUGAGUGUGGAUGAAGUAGGCGGAAUUUGUGGUGUAGCGGUGAAAUGCAUAGAUAUCACGAGGAACUCCGAUUUCGCAGGCAGCUUACUAAACCAUAACUGACGCUCAGGCACGAAGGCGUGGGGAUCAAACAGGAUUAGAUACCCUGGUAGU
rnacentral:rRNA from 1 species